CAGUAGCCGCGGUAAUACGUAGGCAGCGAGCGUUGUUCGGAAUUACUGGGCGUAAAGAGUGCGUAGGCGGUGCUCUAAGUCUGUCGUGAAAUCUCCCGGCUUAACUGGGAGGGUGCGGCGGAAACUGGAAUGCUCGAGUAUGGGAGAGGUAAGCGGAAUUCCUGGUGUAGCGGUGAAAUGCGUAGAUAUCAGGAGGAACACCUGUGGUGUAGACAGCUUACUGGACCAUGACUGACGCUGAGGCACGAAAGCGUGGGUAGCAAACAGGAUUAGAUACCCGUGUAGUCCCUGUCUCUUAUAC
rnacentral:rRNA from 1 species